GUCUUCAACCAGACAACCCGUGGGACCUCGUUUGGGGUUUCAAAACGGAGAAAAAUUAUUUUUUCAAAGAACAGAGUUUUGCCUGGAGAGCAAGACACCCUAUCAAACUCAAAAGAUAAAUGGCCUGCAGCGUUCCGGCGCGAGCUUGCGGCGAUCCUUGGGGCUCCUUGGCUUCACCCAGGAAAGUCUUCCCCGGGUCUGCGGACUUCCAGCUUCCUCAUUCAAACCCACCCUCGUGCAGGGGCCUCAACUACGACUAACACCCCCGCAGGCUCCUCUGGACACCGGGCCACGCCCGCAGGAUGCCAGGCAAGACUGAGGGCACGCCUCGGCUGGGGACGCCACUCAGCCUCCCGGGUCUGCCAUCCCACACGCCUCCGAAAAGGAAGUAUUUCCAAGGUUAUUCACUGUAACCCCCCUUGUAAUGGCAAGAGGUUGGAAACAACCCAAAGAGCUCUCUACAAGGGACAGGCUUGUUAACUUAUGGGACAUCGAAUCAGUGCGGUGUUGGGCAACUGCAUGAAAGAAGGACACACUUUCUGGGUUCCUAUGGAAAGCGCUCCAAGGUGUAUCAUUAGGUGAAGACGAAUAAAGGGCAAAAGUGUUCUCUCCGA
rnacentral:lncRNA from 1 species